GACGAACGCUGGCGGCGUGCUUAACACAUGCAAGUCGAACGAAGUGGAGAACGGGUGAGUAACGCUUAAUCAACCUGCCCUUCAGAGGGGGACAACAGUUGGAAACGACUGCUAAUACCGCAUACUGAGGGAGGGGAUUGCUUCGGAUUAGCGAGUUGGAGGGUUAACGGCCUACCAAGGCGAUGAUCAGUAGCCGGUCGGAUAGGAUGAACGGCCACAUUGGGACUGGGACACGGCCCAGACUCCUACGGGAGGCAGCAGUGGGGAAUCUUCCGCAAUGGACGAAAGUCUGACGGAGCAACGCCGCGUGAGUGAUGACGGCCUUCGGGUUGUAAAGCUCUGUUAAUCGGGACGCGGUACCGGAAUAGAAAGCCACGGCUAACUACGUGCCAGCAGCCGCGGUAAUUC
rnacentral:rRNA from 1 species